rnacentral:lncRNA from 1 species
UGCCUCCCAAGAAGCGCUUUCGUUAACGUCUUGCAGCCGGACGAUACCUCCUUUUAAGCUCCAUUAGGGCCCACAGCAUGGAGGGGGUAUUUCCUCCACGAUAUGCUCCUCAAACAGGUCGUAAUAAGGCUUCAAACGAUGCCCAUUCACCUUAAAUUCAUGGCCGGUUUUCAUGCUUUGGACUUGGACUGCACCAUGGGAAAAAACAUUAGUAAUAACAAAGGGUCCAAUCCACUUAGAGCGUAACUUACCGGGGAAUAACCGAAGGCGAGAAUCAAAGAUGAGCACUUUCUGCCCCUUGGAGAAUGUCUUUGUACGAAACAUCUUGUCAUGAUACGCCUAGGUCUUAUCCUUGUAAAUUCGAGCAUUCUCGUACGUCUCGUGCCUAAUCUCCUCGAGUUCAUUUAAUUGGAGCUUUCUAUGCACUCCGGCGACAUCUAUAUCCAUGUUGAAGGUCUUCACAGCCCAAUGUGCUUUGUGCUCUAACUCGACGGGCAAAUGACAUGGCUUACCAUAGAUGAGCCGAAAAGGGGACAUGCCAAUGGGAGUUUUGUAGGCUGUACGAUAAGCCCACAAUGCAUCGUCUA